rnacentral:rRNA from 1 species
UACGGGGGGGGUAAGCGUUGUUCGGAAUUACUGGGCGUAAAGGGUGCGUAGGCGGCCCGUUAAGUCAGUGGUGAAAGCCUCCAGCUCAACUGGAGAACUGCCAUUGAUACUGACGGGCUUGAGUACAGACGAGGUUGGCGGAAUUGAUUGUGUAGCGGUGAAAUGCAUAGAUACAAUCAAGAACUCCGAUUGCGUAGGCAGCUAACUAGGCUGUAACUGACGCUGAGGCACGAAAGCGUGGGGAGCGAACAGG